rnacentral:rRNA from 1 species
CCUACGGGAGGCAGCAGCUAAGAAUAUUGGGCAAUGGAGGAAACUCUGACCCAGCCAUGCCGCGUGAAUGAAGAAGGCCUUCGGGUUGUAAAGUUCUUUUAGUCGUGAAGAUGAUGACAGUAGCGACAGAAAAAGCACCGGCUAACUUCGUGCCAGCAGCCGCGGUAAU